rnacentral:rRNA from 1 species
AUUGAACGCUGGCGGCAUGCCUAACACAUGCAAGUCGAGCGAGCGGCGGACGGGUGCGUAAUGUCUGGGAAACUGCCUGAUGGCUACGGAUAACUACUGGAAACGGUAGCUAAUACCGCAUUCCAUCAGAUUUUCCCAGAUGGGGUUAGCUGGUAGGUGGGGUAACGGCUCACCUAGGCGACGAUCCAUAGCUGGUCUGAGAGGAUGACCAGCCACACUGGAACUGAGACACGGUCCAGACUCCUACGGGAGGCAGCAGUGGGGAAUAUUGCACAAUGGGCGAAAGCCUGAUGCAGCCAUGCCGCGUGUGUGAAGAAGGCCUUCGGGUUGUAAAGCUCUUUCAGCGGGGAGGCGUUACCCGAAGAAGAAGCAACGGCUAACUCCGUGCCAGCAGCCGCGGUAAUUC